rnacentral:rRNA from 1 species
UUGAACGCUGGCGGCAUGCCUUACACAUGCAAGUCGAACGGCAGCACGGGAGCAAUCCUGGUGGCGAGUGGCGAACGGGUGAGUAAUGUAUCGGAACGUACCUUUCAGUGGGGGAUAACGUAGCGAAAGUUACGCUAAUACCGCAUAUUCUGUGAGCAGGAAAGCAGGGGAUCUUAGGACCUUGCGCUGAUUGAGCGGCCGAUAUCAGAUUAGCUAGUUGGUGGGAUAAAAGCUUACCAAGCCGACGAUCUGUAGCUGGUCUGAGAGGACGACCAGCCACACUGGGACGGAGACACGGCCCAGACUCCUACGGGAGGCAGCAGUGGGGAAUUUUGGACAAUGGGCGAAAGCCUGAUCCAGCCAUGCCGCGUGCAGGAUGAAGGCCUUCGGGUUGUAAACUGCUUUUGUACGGAACGAAAAAGUCUUCUCUAAUACAGGGUGCGAAUGACGGUACCGUAAGAAUAAGCACCGGCUAACUACGU